GUGAGUCAUCGAAUCUUUGAACGCACAUUGCGCCCGCCAGCAUUCUGGCGGGCAUGCCUGUUCGAGCGUCAUAUCAACCCUCAAGCCCCACCGGGCUUGGCGUUGGGGAUCGGCCCGCCAGGCGGCGCCGUCCCCCAAAUGCAGUGGCGGUCCCGCCGCAGCCUCCCCCUGCGCAGUAGCACGAAAACCUCGCAUCGGGAGCGCGGCGCGGCCACGCCGUAAAACGACCCCUCGCUGAGUUGACCUCGGAUCAGGUAGGAAUACCCGCUGAACUUAAGCAUAUCAAUAAGCGGAGGA
rnacentral:misc_RNA from 1 species